ACAUCAUCAAGGCAAAAAGCAGAGUGCGGAUCCCUUUUGCACCCUUGAUUAGACGCAGGAUUCGACCUAUCCGGGCAAGUCGGAUCACUCUGAACAGGUUGCUGAGAAACUGAUUCCUUUAUCUGCAGUAAAGUUAUAAGAAUCAGUGCAACCACUGUUGAAUGUUCUGUUCAGGUCAUGUUCAGUAGGAAUUGUUGUUUCCUGGAAAACUGCUUUAAGAAUCUGAGGAUGAGGCUGAAGGACUUCUGUGAGAAAAAAUAAAGUAAUUAAGAGCACCACUGCUGAGGAGAAUCAUAAAUACAAUGAAUGUUUCAAACCAGUUAUGUUCAACAAUGCUGUAGCAGGUUUUUCUAAAAUUCCACCAGAAUUUUCCUUUGCCAUCUUCUAUACUCACUUGACAACAUGGGAACUUUUGGAUGCAGCCUGUUAUAACAAUAGUAAAAAUGUUACUGACA